GACGAACGCUGGCGGCGUGCUUAACACAUGCAAGUCGAACGCUGAAGCUCAGCUUUUGUUGGGUGGAUGAGUGGCGAACGGGUGAGUAACACGUGAGUAACCUGCCUCCUUCUUUGGGAUAACGCCCGGAAACGGGUGCUAAUACUGGAUAUUCACUGGUCUUCGCAUGGGGGUUGGUGGAAAGGGUUUUUCUGGUGGGGGAUGGGCUCGCGGCCUAUCAGCUUGUUGGUGGGGUGAUGGCCUACCAAGGCUUUGACGGGUAGCCGGCCUGAGAGGGUGACCGGUCACAUUGGGACUGAGAUACGGCCCAGACUCCUACGGGAGGCAGCAGUGGGGAAUAAUGCACAAUGGGCGCAAGCCUGAUGCAGCGACGCCGCGUGAGGGAUGGAGGCCUUCGGGUUGUGAACCUCUUUCGCUCAUGGUCAGGCCGCAACAAUGGUUGUGGUGAGGGUAGUGGGUAAAGAAGCGCCGGCUAACUACGUG
rnacentral:rRNA from 1 species